rnacentral:rRNA from 1 species
CCCUUAGAUGUUCUGGGCUGCACGCGUGCUACAAUGGCGUUUCCAGCAAGUCUGCGAACCCGAGAGGACCAGCGGAUCUUCGAAUUGGCGUCGUGAUCGGGACAGUCGAUUGCAAUUAUUUGACUCAAACGAGGAAUUCCUUGUAAUCGCGAUUCAUCAUAUCGCGCUGAAUACGUCCCUGCCCUUUGUACACACCGCCCGUCGCUCCUACCGAUUGAGCGAUCCGGUAAAUGUUUUGGAUUGGUGCCGGGGCGGCUAGCUGCCGGUCGCUACGAAAUUUUGUGAACCUUAUCGCUUAGAGGAAGGAAAAGUCGUAACA